UAGCGCUAGAUCUUGCGGGAAUCGCAAGGAGACGAGGAAGAGGUUGUCGAACAUUCAGCGGAUGCCUCUCGGCUGCAUCGGUCGUAAAAAGCUGCAAAGCCCCUUGGUGACGAGGGGGACAAGGCAGU
rnacentral:ncRNA from 1 species